CCUACGGGGGGCAGCAGUGAGGAAUAUUGGUCAAUGGACGAGAGUCUGAACCAGCCAAGUAGCGUGAAGGAUGACUGCCCUAUGGGUUGUAAACUUCUUUUAUAUGGGAAUAAAAUGUUCCACGUGUGGGAUUUUGUAUGUACCAUAUGAAUAAGGAUCGGCUAACUCCGUGCCAGCAGCCGCGGUAAUACGGAGGAUCCGAGCGUUAUCCGGAUUUAUUGGGUUUAAAGGGAGCGUAGGUGGAUUGUUAAGUCAGUUGUGAAAGUUUGCGGCUCAACCGUAAAAUUGCAGUUGAAACUGGCAGUCUUGAGUACAGUAGAGGUGGGCGGAAUUCGUGGUGUAGCGGUGAAAUGCUUAGAUAUCACGAAGAACUCCGAUUGCGAAGGCAGUUCACUGUACUGCAACUGACACUGAGGCUCGAAAGUGUGGGUAUCAAACAGGAUUAGAUACCCUUGUAGUC
rnacentral:rRNA from 1 species